GCGUCUCUAGCUAUGUUGAGACGCGGCAGACGGCUCAGUAACACGUGGCUAACCUACCCUCAGGACGAGGACAAACCCGGGAAACUGGGGCUAAUACUCGAUAGGUGAGGAUGUCUGGAAUGAUUUCUCACUCAAAGGGCUUUAGAAACAUGCUUCUAGAGUCGCCUGGGGAUGGGGCCGCGUCCGAUCAGGUUGUUGGUGAGGUAACGGCUCACCAAGCCUAUAACCGGUACGGGCCGUGAGAGCGGUAGCCCGGAGAUGGGUACUGAGACAAGGACCCAGGCCCUACGGGGCGCGGCAGUCGCGAAAACUCCGCAAUGCACGAAAGUGUGACGGGGCUACCCCGAGUGCCGUCCGCUGAGGAUGGCUUUUCCUUGGUGUAACUAGCCGGGGGAAUAAGGAGAGGGCAAGACUGGUGUCAGCCGCCGCGGUAAUACCAGCUCUCCGAGUGGUAGGGAUGAUUAUUGGGCUUAAAGCGUCCGUAGCCGGCUUAGUAAGUCCCCUGUUAAAUUCAGCGACCUAAUCGUUGAGCCGCGGGAGAUACUGCUAGGCUAGGAGGCGGGAGAGGUCGACGGUACUUCCGGGGUAGGGGUGAAAUCCUAUAAUCCCGGGAGGACCACCAGUGGCGAGGGCUGUCGACUAGAACGCGCUCGACGGUGAGGGACGAAAGCUGGGGUAGCGAACCGGAUUAGAUACCCGGGUAGUCCCAGCCGUAAACGAUGCGGGCUAGGUGUUGGAGUGGCUACGUG
rnacentral:rRNA from 1 species